rnacentral:rRNA from 1 species
UACGUAGGGUGCGAGCGUUAAUCGGAAUUACUGGGCGUAAAGCGUGCGCAGGCGGUGAUGUAAGACCGAUGUGAAAUCCCCGGGCUUAACCUGGGAACUGCAUUGGUGACUGCAUCGCUCGAGUAUGGCAGAGGGGGGUAGAAUUCCACGUGUAGCAGUGAAAUGCGUAGAGAUGUGGAGGAAUGCCGAUGGCGAAGGCAGCCCCCUGGGUCAAUACUGACGCUCAUGCACGAAAGCGUGGGGAGCAAACAGG